rnacentral:tRNA from 1 species
UGGGUUGUGGCUCAGUGGUAGAGCACUUGCCUGGCAUGUGUGAGGCCCUGGGUUCAAUCUUCAGCACCGCAU